UGACAANCUUGGUUGAUCCUGCCAGUAGUCAUAUGCUUGUCUCAAAGAUUAAGCCAUGCAUGUCUCAGUACAAGCCAAAUUAAGGUGAAACCGCGAAAGGCUCAUUAAAUCAGUUAUGGUUCCUUAGAUCGUACCAACAUUUACUUGGAUAACUGUGGUAAUUCUAGAGCUAAUACAUGCAAACAGAGCUCCGACCGGAGACGGAAGGAGCGCUUUUAUUAGAUCAAAACCAAUCGGCGGCGGGUUCGCUUGCGGGCCCGACGUCGUUCUCAUUGACGAAUCUGAAUAACUUUCUGCUGAUCGCACGGUCUCGCACCGGCGACGCAUCUUUCAAAUGUCUGCCUUAUCAACUGUCGAUGGUAGGUUCUGUGCCUACCAUGGUUGUAACGGGUAACGGGGAAUCAGGGUUCGAUUCCGGAGAGGGAGCCUGAGAAACGGCUACCACAUCCAAGGAAGGCAGCAGGCGCGCAAAUUACCCACUCCCGGCACGGGGAGGUAGUGACGAAAAAUAACGAUACGGGACUCAUCCGAGGCCCCGUAAUCGGAAUGAGAACAAUUUAAAUCCUUUAACGAGGAUCAAUUGGAGGGCAAGUCUGGUGCCAGCAGCCGCGGUAAUUCCAGCUCCAAUAGCGUAUAUUAAAGUUGUUUGCGGUUAA
rnacentral:rRNA from 1 species